UACGUAGGGGGCUAGCGUUGUCCGGAAUCAUUGGGCGUAAAGAGCGCGUAGGCGGCCAGAUAAGUCCGGUGUGAAAGUCACAGGCUCAACCUGUGAAUGCCGCUGGAAACUGUCUGGCUAGAGUCCGGGAGGGGCGAGUGGAAUUCCUGGUGUAGCGGUGAAAUGCGCAGAUAUCAGGAGGAACACCGGUGGCGAAGGCGGAUCUCUGGGCCUUACCUGACGCUGAGGCGCGAAAGCUAGGGGAGCGAACAGG
rnacentral:rRNA from 1 species